rnacentral:lncRNA from 1 species
GACUGGAGGCGCGCGACGCGGGCGCAAUGGCGGGGACCCGGGGCUUGAUGCUGCUUGGGCCUGGCCCAGUGGCGGGUCCUAGGGACGUGGGUACCUGCAGAGGCCGGCAGAUGGAGAUUCAGAAACAUAAGGACAACAAGAAACUUCCCCAAGGUAUCAUUAUAGUCUUUAGACUUCAGACACACACCACACCUCAAAUAUAUACACAACUGAAAGGAAAAUUAAGGAAGUUUUUCAAAGAACCCUAUUCCGAGUAAGAAGUGUGUUGCAUGAAUUUCUAAGAGCCAGAAAAUGCAUGACACAGGAGAAGAUGUACCCUCAUCUGUUCAGUGAGAGAUGUGCAAAUCAACAUCAACACAGAACUGCUGAAGAAAAAAAAUAUGUGUGUGGAUUAUAUAUAUACAUAUAAGUGUGUGUAUAUAUAUAUAUAUAUAUAUUUACAUAUAUAGUAUGGGCUAUUUCACCUUUGCAAGCUGGGAGCCAUUAAGUAAUGGCUACCACCACUCCCCCACCCCCUUCAGUAAAACACAUCCUGAACAUUGGGCCCAUGUUUUCAAGAAGAAUGUGCCCCACUGCCCCUUGGAAACUCCAUUUCAUUUACUUGGUUCAGUUAGUUAAUGACGGUCCAUUUUGACUCAAAUAUCCAGUUCCCUUUCAUCAAUCAUGUCUUUCUGGACUGUCAGUUUUAGGGCAAGGAUUACAAAGCCCUUCCAUGCAGAUAUCCACAGAGAAAGACCCAGACCCACAUCC